rnacentral:rRNA from 1 species
GAUGAACGCUGGCGGCGUGCCUAAUACAUGCAAGUCGAGCGAACAGACGAGGAGCUUGCUCCUCUGACGUUAGCGGCGGACGGGUGAGUAACACGUGGAUAACCUACCUAUAAGACUGGGAUAACUUCGGGAAACCGGUGCUAAUACCGGAUAAUAUAUUGAACCGCAUGGUUCAAUAGUGAAAGACGGUUUUGCUGUCACUUAUAGAUGGAUCCGCGCCGCAUUAGCUAGUUGGUAAGGUAACGGCUUACCAAGGCAACGAUGCGUAGCCAACCUGAGAGGGUGAUCGGCAACACUGGACCUGAGACACGGUCCAGACUCCUACGGAAGGAAGCAGUAGGGAAUCUCCCGCAAUGGGCGAAGGCCUGACGGAGCAACGCCGCGGGAGUGAUGAAGGUCUUCGGAUCGUAAAACUCUGUUAUUAGGGAAGAACAAAUGUGGAAGUAACUAUGCACGUAUUGACGGUACCUAAUCAGAAAGCCACGGCUAACUACGUG